UACGAAGGGGGCUAGCGUUGUUUGGAAUUAUUGGGCGUAAAGCGCGUGUAGGCGGCUUUGCAAGUCGGGUGUGAAAGCCCUCAGCUCAACUGAGGAAGUGCGCCCGAAACUGCAGAGCUUGAGUGCCGGAGAGGGUGGCGGAAUUCCCCAAGUAGAGGUGAAAUUCGUAGAUAUGGGGAGGAACACCGGUGGCGAAGGCGGCAUCCUGGACCGGCAUUGACGCUGAGGCGCGAAAGCUAGGGGAGCAAACGGG
rnacentral:rRNA from 1 species